rnacentral:rRNA from 1 species
CAAUAGCGUAUAUUUAAGUUGUUGCAGUUAAAAAGCUCGUAGUUGGAUUUCGGAUGGGACUUGCCGGUCCGUCGUUUCGAUGUGCACUGGCCAGUCCUAUCUUGUUGUCGGGGACUAGCUCCUGGGCUUCACUGUCCGGGACUAGGAGCUGACGAGGUUACUUUGAGUAAAUUAGAGUGUUCAAAGCAAGCCUACGCUCUGAAUACAUUAGCAUGGAAUAACACGAUAGGACUCUGGCUUAUCUUGUUGGUCUGUGAGACCAGAGUAAUGAUUAAGAGGGACAGUCGGGGGCAUUCGUAUUUCAUUGUCAGAGGUGAAAUUCUUGGGUUUAUGAAAGACGAACUUCUGCGAAAGCAUUUGUCAAGGAUGUUUUCAUUAA